GCCUGGGUGGCUCAGUCGGUUAGGCGUCUGACUUUGGCUCAGGUUAUGAUCUCAGUUUGUGGGUUCCAGCCCCGCGUCGGGCU
rnacentral:tRNA from 1 species